UUUGACCUCAAAUCAGGUAGGACUACCCGCUGAACUUAAGCAUAUCAAUAAGCGGAGGAAAAGAAACUAACAAGGAUUCCCCUAGUAACUGCGAGUGAAGCGGGAAAAGCUCAAAUUUAAAAUCUGGCAGUCUUUUUUUUCUUCUUUGGCUGUCCGAGUUGUAAUCUAGAGAAGUGCUUACCUGCACUGGACCAUGUAUAAGUCUCCUGGAAUGGAGCGUCACAGAGGGUGAGAAUCCCGUCUUUGACAUGGACCGCCAGUGUGUUGUGGUGUGCUCUCAAAGAGUCGAGUUGUUUGGGAAUGCAGCUCUAAAUGGGUGGUAAACUCCAUCUAAAGCUAAAUAUUGGCGAGAGA
rnacentral:rRNA from 1 species